CCAGAUGGCUGGGCGGUCGCGCCUGUUUGCGCAGGCGAGGAAAGUCCGGGCUCCACGACGACAUGGCGGUGGGUAACGCCCACCGGGGGUGACCCUAGGGAUAGCGCCACAGAGAGCAGACCGCCCUGCUUCGCCAAGGCUACGCAGGGCUCGCCCUUCGGAGCUUCAGCGCAGAAGGGUAAGGGUGAAAGGGUGCGGUAAGAGCGCACCGCGGACCCAGCAAUGGGGACGGCAUGGCAAGCCCCGCCAGGAGCAAGACCGAAUAGGGGUGUCGCGCCGGUUCGCCGGUAGGGCUGUCGUAGGCCCG
rnacentral:RNase_P_RNA from 1 species